AGUGAACGCUGGCGGUAGGCCUAACACAUGCAAGUCGAACGGCAGCACUGUAAGAGCUUGCUCUUACGGGUGGCGAGUGGCGGACGGGUGAGGAAUACAUCGGAAUCUGCUUUUUCGUGGGGGAUAACGUAGGGAAACUUACGCUAAUACCGCAUACGACCUACGGGUGAAAGCAGGGGAUCUUCGGACCUUGCGCGAUUGAAUGAGCCGAUGUCGGAUUAGCUAGUUGGCGGGGUAAAGGCCCACCAAGGCGACGAUCCGUAGCUGGUCUGAGAGGAUGAUCAGCCACACUGGAACUGAGACACGGUCCAGACUCCUACGGGAGGCAGCAGUGGGGAAUAUUGGACAAUGGGCGCAAGCCUGAUCCAGCCAUACCGCGUGGGUGAAGAAGGCCUUCGGGUUGUAAAGCCCUUUUGUUGGGAAAGAAAAGCAGCAGGUUAAUACCCCGCUGUUCUGACGGUACCCAAAGAAUAAGCACCGGCUAACUUCGUG
rnacentral:rRNA from 1 species